rnacentral:misc_RNA from 1 species
GUAGGUGAACCUGCGGAAGGAUCAUUAGUGAAUUCAAUUUUCAGAGGCAGCAAUGUCGCUGUGCGAUCGGGCCCCCCGCGGCCCGGUAGCGGAAUACACAUCCAUAACACCUGUGAACUGUUUGUCAGGCCCAUCGGCUUCGGCCCCUGGACUGGACUAAUAUACAAACUUACUCUGUAAAAAAUGUCGAAAUACAAAAACAAAAUAAAACUUUUAACAACGGAUCUCUUGGCUCUC